GAUGAACGCUGGCGGCGUGCCUAAUACAUGCAAGUCGAGCGAACGGACGAGAAGCUUGCUUCUCUGAUGUUAGCGGCGGACGGGUGAGUAACACGUGGAUAACCUACCUAUAAGACUGGGAUAACUUCGGGAAACCGUAGCUAAUACCGGAUAAUAUUUUGAACCGCAUGGUUCAAAAGUGAAAGACGGUCUUGCUGUCACUUAUAGAUGGAUCCGCGCUGCAUUAGCUAGUUGGUAAGGUAACGGCUUACCAAGGCAACGAUGCAUAGCCGACCUGAGAGGGUGAUCGGCCACACUGGAACUGAGAAACGGUCCAGACUCCUACGGGAGGCAGCAGUAGGGAAUCUGCCGCAAUGGGCGAAAGCCUGACGGAGCAACGCCGCGUGAGUGAUGAAGGUCUUCGGAUCGUAAAACUCUGUUAUUAGGAAAGAACAGAUGUGUAAGUAACUGUGCACAUCUUGACGGUACCUAAUCAGAAAGCCACGGCUAACUACGU
rnacentral:rRNA from 1 species